GACGAACGCUGGCGGCGUGCUUAACACAUGCAAGUCGAACGGAAAGGCCCUGCUUGCAGGGUACUCGAGUGGCGAACGGGUGAGUAACACGUGGGUGAUCUGCCCUGCACUUCGGGAUAAGCCUGGGAAACUGGGUCUAAUACCGGAUAGGAGCCAUUUUUAGUGUGAUGGUUGGAAAGUUUUUUCGGUGUAGGAUGAGCUCGCGGCCUAUCAGCUUGUUGGUGGGGUAAUGGCCUACCAAGGCGGCGACGGGUAGCCGGCCUGAGAGGGUGGACGGCCUCAUUGGGACUGAGAUACGGCCCAGACUCCUACGGGAGGCAGCAGUGGGGAAUAUUGCACAAUGGGCGCAAGCCUGAUGCAGCGACGCCGCGUGGGGGAGGACGGCCUUCGGGUUGUAAACUCCUUUCGCUAGGGACGAAGCUUUUUGUGACGGUACCUAGAUAAGAAGCACCGGCUAACUACGUG
rnacentral:rRNA from 1 species